rnacentral:rRNA from 1 species
UACGUAGGGUGCGAGCGUUAAUCGGAAUUACUGGGCGUAAAGCGUGCGCAGGCGGUUUUGUAAGCCAGAUGUGAAAGCCCCGGGCUUAACCUGGGAAUGGCAUUUGGGACUGCAAGGCUCGAGUGCGGCAGAGGAGACUGGAAUUCCUGGUGUAGCAGUGAAAUGCGUAGAUAUCAGGAGGAAUACCGAUGGCGAAGGCAGGUCUCUGGGCUGACACUGACGCUCAUGCACGAAAGCGUGGGGAGCAAACAGG